rnacentral:lncRNA from 13 species
UGAAAUCGCCAUCUUCUGCGGCUGUGACACCUCUCUGAUCCACUCCCUAAAUGUUUGCCACUCAGGGAAACCAUCACAUGACAGACUUCAAGAGGAAAAGAACAUGAAUUU